UCGGCCUCCCAAAGUGCUGGGAUCACAGGCGUGAGCCACCGCGCCCAGCCAGAUUUGAUUUUUUAAAUGUUUGUGAAUGUGUAUCACUGUAGUGAAAAAUCAAAUUAUUUAAAUCUACUUUCUAAAUAAUUUUGAUUAAAGUAUUCUGUAUUUUGAGUGCCAGUAUUCAUAUAGUAUGCCAAAUCACCCAUUUGUUUACUAUUUUGCCAUUUUAUAAAAUAAGCCUGAAUUUGUGGAGACAUUUUUAAAGAAACCGAUCUUUUCUACAAAAAGAUUUAGACAUCGAAAAUAGAGAAUUUAGUUUCACAUUAUAUAUAUAGUUUGCUGAACCCUACAGUAAUUUGUAAAGUUUGUUUGUGUAUGCCAAUCUUAGAUUUUCUAAAACAAAAUGAAGGGUUUUUGUUUUAUGUUACAUUUAAUAUACAAAGUCCAAAAUAUGCUCAGACAGACAACUUCAUCAGACUCCUUCAUCAACUCCGUUUCCAUCGUGGCGUGAACGGUUUCUCACUGCUUUAGCAUCUGCCUUUGAUUUCUACUAAUUUUCUUUGACUUUGAUUUUUCUUGUCCAUCUCUGGUGGUUGCUUUGCUGCUCCACUUUGAGGAGUUCGGGCAGCUUCACCCUCAGCCGCUCCAACAGUCCGUCCAUUUGGCUCAAGCUCUAGGCAGUUUCUCCUGGUUCUUCUGUUCCUGGCGUCUGAGAUUUGUCAGCAGGGCCAGAUUUUCAGGAACCAUGCAUGGCUAUCGCCUCCUCCCGCCUGGAGGGCUGCUCCUGCGCCUCUGACCGGCGCUGGUUCCAGCCGCGGCCCAGCUGAGCACAGCAGGAACCGCAGUAGCAGCCGGAGCGCCCACGCCCGGGGUCGCCUAGCCCAGGAACGCCUUAGUUGCAACCCUGCGUCGAGGCCCAGCUCCGUGCGCAGAAAGCCGAGGCCAACCAGAGCAUUUCCUGGACGAGUCCUCUCGGCCUGCGGGGCCAGUUCCUCCUACCAGCUUCCUGCUGCCACCUCGGCUUCCAUCAGAGGGACGCUUAGGAUGGCGCAGGGGCCCGGAGACACUGUGAAGAGUCCAGGGGAAUGAGGAGGGGCUGGGCCGGGCAGCCUCAGGCCCAGCGCAGGUUAGCGCUUCUCACGCCUGAGCAGAGAUCAGCUACUGCCACUGCGGGGAGGACAGAAGGACCCAGGCUCCCCAGCCUCCCUCUGCACCGGGAGUGUAGGAAACUAUUUAAAAAUAAUAAUAAUAAUAAUAAUAAUAAGUAUGGAAUAGAACUUGCAGAUCUAACCCAACCAAGUUUUCAUUCUUUUUCCUUUUCCUUUUCUUUUUUUUAAUGUAUUUUUCUCUUAUAUUAUGCUCGCCUGACGGAAGAUUUUAUGUUCCAUCCUCACAUGGAAAUUUAAAUGUAAUCAUAAUGGUCACAAAUUUAGAAACAGUAUUUACUUUAUUUUGCCUAAGAAUGCUGGGGUAACAUUAAUUUUUCAAUGGUGCCUUCUGAAUCUUAACGUUGAUUACCUUUUAUUUGAGUCUAUUAACUAAACUGUAGUAAGUAAUAAUAAUAAAUUCUUGAUUUGCAUAGGGCUUAACAGUUUACAAAGGGCAUGUAUUCAUUCGUUUAACCGAUAAAUGUGCGUUGAGCUACACGUUGUGCUAUAUUUUUUGCUAGCCUUGGGAGAUAAAAUUAAUAAAAGAAAGUAUUGGCCGGCUUCUUUUGUUCAACAUUGUGAGAUUAAUCUCUGUUGCUGUCUGUGGUUUGCAUAUUUAUUGAUCUACCAUGUGACAUCAU
rnacentral:lncRNA from 1 species